GCCGGGGUGGUGGAAUGGCAGACACGGCGCACUCAAAAUGCGUUGCUCGAAAGGGCGUGCGGGUUCAAGUCCCGCUCCCGGCA
rnacentral:tRNA from 2 species